rnacentral:rRNA from 1 species
UAGGGAAUCUUCCGCAAUGGGCGAAAGCCUGACGGAGCAACGCCGCGUGAGUGAUGAAGGUCUUCGGAUCGUAAAACUCUGUUAUUAGGGAAGUACAAAUGUGUAAGUAACUAUUCACGUCUUGACGGUACCUAAUCAGAAAGCCACGGCUAACUACGUGCCAGCAGCCGCGGUAAUACGUAGGUGGCAAGCGUUAUCCGGAAUUAUUGGGCGUAAAGCGCGCGUAGGCGGUUUUUUAAGUCUGAUGUGAAAGCCCACGGCUCAACCGUGGAGGGUCAUUGGAAACUGGAAAACUUGAGUGCAGAAGAAGAAAGUGGAAUUCCAGGUGUAGCGGUAAAAUUCGAAGAGAUAUGGAGGAACGCCAGUGGCGAAGGCGACUUUCUGGUCUGUAACUGACGCUGAUGUGCGAAAGCGUGAGGAUCAAACAGG